rnacentral:rRNA from 1 species
ACCCGCACAAGCGUGGAUGAUGUGGAUUAAUUCGAUGCAACGCGAAGAACCUUACCUACCCUUGACAUGUCCGGAACUUGCCAGAGAUGGCUUGGUGCCCGAAAGGGAAUCGGAACACAGGUGCUGCAUGGCUGUCGUCAGCUCGUGUCGUGAGAUGUUGGGUUAAGUCCCGCAACGAGCGCAACCCUUAUCAUUAGUUGCUACGCAAGGGCACUCUAAUGAGACUGCCGGUGACAAACCGGAGGAAGGUGGGGAUGACGUCAAGUCCUCAUGGCCCUUAUGGGUAGGGCUUCACACGUCAUACAAUGGUCGGUACAGAGGGUUGCCAAGCCGCGAGGCGGAGCCAAUCCCACAAAGCCGAUCGUAGUCCGGAUUGUUCUCUGCAGCUCGAGAGCAUGAAGUCGGAAUCGCUAGUAAUCGCAGGUCAGCAUACUGCGGUGAAUACGUUCCCGGGUCUU